rnacentral:lncRNA from 1 species
GACGAUUCAAUUGAGUUUUCUUUUUCUCAUCAACAUCUUCAUCAUACGAAUCAUCAAUUACUUGAUAAACAUUUUGUUGAAUUAAAAUACAUUCCAUUUUCUGCUGCCAAAAACCGAAGUCCGUUUUACCAUUAAAAGGAGCUAAACCAUAAUUUGCCAAAGAAGACAUCGCAACACGAAGCAAAUAAUCACAAAGACUCACAAAGAUUGACAACCACAGAGUUUACAGCGGAAGUAAAAAUAAGAGACCAAAAACACUAUUCACGAAAUCACUAUUCACGUGAAUAGUAACAGCGAAAAAAUAAUUAAAUCAGAAAACAGAAUUCGACACACGAAUCCUAGAUAUCUACCAGCAGAUAAGCACCAAGCCUAAACUGCACCAGAUGGCAGCAACUAGAAAUUGAAAAACAAGAGAGGUUUAAGCCGCUUUACCAGAGCGGGAUCCUAAGGUCAGGACCCCGACUUACCAAUGCGACGACGAGGUCAACCGUGGCUCUGAUACCACUGUUGAGUAUCGACCCUCGUCGUCGUUGUUGAAGGCUUCCUUCUCCGGGGCAGCAAAGCAGCGGCAACACAGCGGCGGAACAGCAGCAGGGACGGCGGCGGCAGGGGCAGCAGCAGCGGCGGCUGUCCUCCGGCAACAACGCAGCAGCAACAGCGGCGCAGCAACGAGGUAGCAGCAGCCUCGACAACCUGCAAGGAAAAACACACAAAGAGAGGAACAAGGGGCGUCGAUCUUCUCGGCUCAGGUACAGCUCUCUUCCUCUCGAUCACGCACACACUAAGCCACGAAGAAUCACAAAGGGGACGUUGCUCUCGCCGGCACCACAAUCGGCCAACAAGCCUUACACCUUCACCGGUAGCACCUCCACACAAAGGAAGAACACUAAGCAAUUUUCGUCUCCUAUACAGCCACAGACCAAGGGCUCUUUAAAUAGCCUACCAAAGAAGGAUCUAGAGAAGGAAGGUGAAGAGGUUCAUGGGGAGAAGAAGCGCAGGGGUCACAGCCCCAAAAGGGCACUAAUUUCGACUGGAAGGGGAAAUGGGAGGGCUGCCAAAAUAAGGAGGAUAGGGCAUGGGCUUGUUGGGCCAAAAUUGGGCCAACUAACAACAACGGACUUAGGAUUAAUGCACUAUUUUCUCGGAAUGGAGAUAAGUCAAGAGGAAGAAGGCAUCUUCCUAUCACAAAAAAAGUAUAUUGAAGAUAUGCUCAAGAAGUUCAAGAUGCAAGACUGCAAGCCAGUGGUUACACCUCUCAUUCCAAAUGAGAAGUUGAAGAAAGAAGAUGGGUCAAAACCGACGGAUUCUACAAACUAUCGAAGUUUGAUUGGGAGUCUACUAUAUUUGACGGCAACAAGGCCUGACAUCAAGUAUGCAACAAGCCUUCUAUCCAGAUUCAUGGAAAGUCCGAAGGAGACCCACUAUGGAGCAGCAAAGAGACUUCUCAGAUACCUGCAAGGUACGCUCAACUAUGGUAUUUGGUACAAACCAAAGUCUGACUCACAGAUUAGUGGAUAUAGCGAUAGUGAUUGGGCUGGAUCUCAAGAUGACAUGAAAAGCACCUCAGGCUAUGCUUUCAAGCUUGGCUCAGGAAUUUUUCUUGGGGAUCAAAGAAGCAAGACUCAGUUGCACUAUCAACAGCAGAAGCUGAGUAUGUUGCAGCAGCCGAAGCAGCAUGUCAAGCUAUAUGGCUUAGAAGAAUACUAGCGGAUAUGGGCGAACCGCAAGACUCAUCGACAGAGAUCUACUGCGAUAACAAGUCAGCUAUAGCAAUGGCUAAGAAUCCAGUUCAGCACAAUCGCACCAAGCACAUCGACAUCAAGUAUCACUUCUUGAGAGAUGUUGAAGCAAAGAAACUUAUCGAGAUGAAGUAUUGUCCAACAGAAGAGCAGUUGGCGGACAUCUUCACAAAAGCACUACCAAGGGACAGAUUCCAAUUUCUGCGAAGAAUGCUUGGAGUAACCGAUAAAUGCAUCAAGGAGGAGUAUUGAAGUGUGAUGCAUUUAUCUAGAAUAUUCUAAGUGAGAAUAUACUAUGCAUAAUCUAGAGAAUUCACCACUAGCUAGAUUACUCUAGAGUAUUCUAAAUAAUACCUAGGACAUGUAUGGUAUUCUAGAGAUUAGAUAUUUUCUAUAUAGUAUCUAGAGAAUUCCUUAAGUGGAUGCUAGUAGAGAAUUCUAGAUACAAGUUAGUGUAGUGGGAUCUAGAGAGAUCUUCCCACACCUAUAAAUAGAGCUCUUGUGAGCCAUUUGUAACCAAUCUCAAACCAAUCUCACAUAAUCUAAAACAUCUCAAAAACAUCACUCUAUCUAUUAUCUAAGUUCUUUGGAGACAAGAGCUCCACUCUAAAAUCAUUAUCUCUAUCUUCUACACACACUACACUCACAAUAUUCUCUACACCACUUCACUACAAUCACUCACCAUACUCAAGCCUCUAUAUAAUCACCUCCAUUUUCUAACAGAGACGCCGAUAGGAGUCGGCGGCGGCCGGCAGCGAAAUCGCCGGACAAGAAGGCGGCAGCUGCGACUGCAGAUUCAGGGAGAGAAAGAGAGAACAGAGCGAUGGAGCGUGGAUUUGAGAGAGAGAAUGUGAAAAGAAAAGAGUGAUGGAACGUGAAUUUUAGGGAGAAAGGAAUUGGGUUCCAGUUAUGGGCUAAGCCUUUAAUUCAGUAAUGGGCUGAAUUUUUUUAGCUGGACUAUGAUUUAUUUAAUUUGAACUCAUGUUGGGCCUUUUGAUUUUAAUGAAUAAAUCCCUAAGCAUUAAAUUAUUUUCAAAUACAUUUAGGUCUUUAUAUUUUAUUAUUUGAAUUUAACUGACAAGGUGCGGCGCGGCUAGGAUAUGAACUUUGAAAUUCUCACAGUUAAUCUUUCAAAGUUCAAAUUUCAACUGUGAGAUUUAUUUAAAUAUAUUGCUGUCAGUUUUUGACUUAACAGAAUAGUGUCUUGCGGGAUGAUUUUGAUGAUGAUCCCAUAGUCCAAAUCACUUGAAAUUUUUACAGUGAUAACUUCAUUAUGAGUAUUAGAUCUCUGCAAAAUUUCAACUGAAUCCGAAACCUUUAGAUAGGUCAAACAAUUUUCUUAAAAGUAAUGCGUGAAGCAGCAAGGUUCUGUAUCAGAUUCUGCCUUUUGUGAGAUCAUUUCUUGUACAUGCACUUGAGAUAUUGCAUUUUUGUAAAUUUUAAUGAUAGACUUUAAUAGCUUAAUUUCCAUUAAAAAGAUAAUUUCUUAUAUCUAAUUGUAAGUAACAACACUACUUUAGAUCUCAAAUCACAUAAGUAUUGUUGAGUAUAGACCCUCGUCGUCGUUGUAGAAGGCUUCCUUCGACUUUGGGCAGCCACAGCGCAGCUACAAAGCCGCAAAACAGCAGCUGCACAGCGGCGCAGCAACGAGGUAGCAGCAGCCUCGACAACCUGCAAGGAAAAACACACAAAGAGAGGAACAAGGGGCGUCGAUCUUCUCGGCUCAGGUACAGCUCUCUUCCUCUCGAUCACGCACACACUAAGCCACGAAGAAUCACAAAGGGGACGUUGCUCUCGCCGGCACCACAAUCGGCCAACAAGCCUUACACCUUCACCGGUAGCACCUCCACACAAAGGAAGAACACUAAGCAAUUUUCGUCUCUCUACAGCCACAGACCAAGGGCUCUUUAAAUAGCCUACCAUAGAAGGAUCUAGAGAAGGAAGGUGAAGAGGUUCAUGGGGGAGAAGAAGCGCAGGGGUCACAGCCCCAAAAGGGCACUAAUUUUCGACUGGAAGGGGGGGAAAUGGGAGGGCUGCCAAGGAUAGGGCAUGGGCUUGUUGGGCCAAAAUUGGGCCAACUAACAACAUCUCCACCUUUGGCCCAAUCACGGUAUUGUGUGCAUCAAAGAGGAAGCUGUACCAUAAUCAUCAUCGCCGAGCCCCCUGUUAAAUCACAAAGAAAUAACAGGGAAACACAAGACCACAAAGGUCAACGGGUAAACUAACCAAGUCAAUUCCUGCAAAACACAAACAAGAGAAAGACAACCACCAAGCACGAAGCACACUAACACAAAGUUAGUCUAGCACAAAGGGCCACAAAGAGCUAGCACAGAUCACAAAGUACACAUGAUCACGAAGAUAACAUGCGACACAAACGGUCAUCACAAAGUAAAACUCACAAAGCCACAUAGACACAAAGCUACUAAUCAAUCACAAAGACACUAAGCCACAAAGACUCACAUAGUCAUUAAGGCACUAACCAACGAAGUCUCACAAAGCCACAAAGCCUAAACAAUCACAAAGAACAACACUAAGGCAUUAAGAAAGAGCUCCACCUUAGAACACAUCACUAUUGGUUUCAUUACCAAUUACAUUAGCAUGCUCUACAUCUUGUUUUUUCUUAGGGUGAGGACAAUCCUUAAUAUAGUGACCAGUUUCACCACAGUUAUAGCACUUCCUAGGCUUAUAUCUAUGAUUAGACUUAUCAUUAAAUCUCUUUUCACCCCUAACAUGCAUGACUUUGUCCGGUUCUUGAACACAAAUAUUAGAAUUUAAAUCUAAUUCCUUAUUCUUUAAAGCACUCACAACAGUGUCAAGCGUCACAUUAUCUCUACCAUACUUAAUAGCAGAUUUAACAUCACUGUAAGAGUCAGGAAUAGCAUUUAAAAGAGCAUACGGAGCAUACUCAUCAAUAUGUUUAUCACCCGUCAGUUUUAUAUCUUGAACUAACUUAGUGAAUUCAUCAACAUUUUCAUCAAUUUUCUUAUUCAAAUCAAGUUUGAAACGGAAAAACCUUUCAAUCAAAAAUAUCUUAGACGGCAACGAGGUUCCAGUGUACAACUCCUCUAACUUAGACCAUAGUUCUUUAGCAGAAGUCAUUCUCCCUACUUUUCUAAGAACACACUCAGACAAGUUGAGAACAAUAGCAGACAAGGCAAGACGAUUCAAUUGAGUUUUCUUUUUCUCAUCAACAUCUUCAUCAUACGAAUCAUCAAUUACUUGAUAAACAUUUUGUUGAAUUAAAAUACAUUCCAUUUUCUGCUGCCAAAAACCGAAGUCCGUUUUACCAUUAAAAGGAGCUAAACCAUAAUUUGCCAAAGAAGACAUCGCAACACGAAGCAAAUAAUCACAAAGACUCACAAAGAUUGACAACCACAGAGUUUACAGCGGAAGUAAAAAAUAAGAGACCAAAAACACUAUUCACGAAAAUACUAUUCACGUGAAUAGAAACAGUUUACCAGAGCGGGAUCCUAAGGUCAGGACCCCGACUUACCAAUGCGACGACGAGGUCAACCGUGGCUCUGAUACCACUGUUGAGUAUAGACCCUCGUCGUCGUUGUAGAAGGCUUCCUUCGACUUUGGGCAGCCACAGCGCAGUUACAAAGCCGCAAAACAGCAGCUGCACAGCGGCGCAGCAACGAGGUAGCAGCAGCCUCGACAACCUGCAAGGAAAAACACACAAAGAGAGGAACAAGGGGCGUCGAUCUUCUCGGCUCAGGUACAGCUCUCUUCCUCUCGAUCACGCACACACUAAGCCACGAAGAAUCACAAAGGGGACGUUGCUCUCGCCGGCACCACAAUCGGCCAACAAGCCUUACACCUUCACCGGUAGCACCUCCACACAAAGGAAGAACACUAAGCAAUUUUCGUCUUU